UGUGUCAAAACAUGAAUGUAGCUAACUUCGCGAAUGUUAUUCUUAUGUGGUCACAAGUCAGAAGAAUUAAACAAAAAACAUGAAAAGACCAAUUCCAACAAGUACAUUACUUAGGUUUCCUAUUUUAUUUGGAAGUUUCCUAGCAAUUGCAAGUCUAGGACUGAUAUAUAAGGAAUCUUGGAUUGGUGACAUUGAAAAAAGUAGAAGUGAAAUUUUCGAUAAAAGUAAUAUGGAAAAUAAUCCGAUUGAGACAUUUAAAAGAGAUAUUGCAGCAAAACGAUAACAAAUAAAUUAAGAAUUUUUGAUGCUUAUUGAAUAGUUAGUAGUGAAAUAAAUGUAAUUUAUAACGUAAAA